GUCUAUGACCAUGCCACCCCGAACAAGCCCGAUCUCAUUUGAUCUCGGAAGCUAAGCAGGGUAGAGCCUGGUUAGUACUUGGAUGGGAGACCACCUAUGAAGACCAGAUGCUAUAUGCA
rnacentral:rRNA from 1 species